GACGUAGGGGCCAAGCGUUGUCCGGAAUUACUGGGCGUAAAGCGCACGUAGGCGGGUUGUUAAGUCAGGGGUGAAAUCCCGGAGCUCAACUCCGGAACUGCCUUUGAUACUGGCAACCUAGAGGCUGGAAGAGGUUAGUGGAAUUCCCAGUGUAGAGGUGAAAUUCGUAGAUAUUGGGAAGAACACCAGUGGCGAAGGCGGCUAACUGGUCCAGUACUGACGCUGAGGUGCGAAAGCGUGGGGAGCAAACAGG
rnacentral:rRNA from 1 species